rnacentral:rRNA from 1 species
CGGGGGGGCAAGCGUUGUUCGGAAUUACUGGGCGUAAAGGGCUCGUAGGCGGCCAACUAAGUCGGACGUGAAAUCCCUCGGCUUAACCGGGGAACUGCGUCCGAUACUGGAUGGCUUGAGUUUGGGAGAGGGAUGCGGAAUUCCAGGUGUAGCGGUGAAAUGCGUAGAUAUCUGGAGGAACACCGGUGGCGAAGGCGGCAUCCUGGACCAACACUGACGCUGAGGAGCGAAAGCCAGGGGAGCAAACGGGAUUAGAUACCCCGGUAGUCCUGGCCCUAAACGAUGAAUGCUUGGUGUGACGGGUAUCGAUCCCUGUCGUGCCGAAGCUAACGCAUUAAGCAUUCCGCCUGGGGAGUACGGUCGCAAGGCUG